rnacentral:rRNA from 1 species
UACGUAGGUGGCAAGCGUUGUCCGGAUUUACUGGGCGUAAAGCGUGCGCAGGCGGUUCUCCAAGUCCGUUGUGAAAGCCCCGGGCUCAACCUGGGAAUGGCAGUGGAAACUAGGGGACUUGAAUCUGGCAGAGGGGGGUGGAAUUCCACGGUGUAGCAGUGAAAUGCGUAGAGAAUGUGGAGGAACACCGAUGGCGAAGGCAGCCCCCUGGGCUGAGAUUGACGCUCAGGCACGAAAGCGUGGGGAGCA